rnacentral:lncRNA from 1 species
AAACUACAGAAUUAACCAAAAAGAGAGUAAUCAAACUAGAGCCAAUACAUGUCCACGGUAGUUGCGGAGAUUAAUAUCAACUCCUAAUUCCACCAACAGAGAAACUAUAUGAAGAUCAAACAAACCCAAAUCAGGAUCAUCAUCACAAUCACCUUUUAAGAAUCUAUCUUCAACUACAACAAAAAUAACAAAGAGGAAGAGCCAAUGAUGAAUAUUCUACAGAGCAGGAACUCUCAUCUUCCCAGCAAAAUCACACAAAUCAACACAAAUCAAGAACAUAAUUAACCAAAUCCAAUCAUACCUAAAUCAGACAAGAAAACAGAAAACAGAUCCUUCGAUGCUCUUCGUCAUCCUUCAUCAUCCUUCAUCGCAGCUUCUUCACCGGAUCCGAGAGACAAGAUCAGAGAGAUAAAACGAAGAAACAGAGACAAGCAUCGCUGUUUCAGAAGAGGAAAAACCAAAUCGAUUUGGGAAUUUU